rnacentral:rRNA from 1 species
UACGUAGGGGCCGAGCGUUGUCCGGAGUUAUUGGGCGUAAAGCGCGCGCAGGCGGCCUCGCGCGCCCGACGUGAAAGCCCCCGGCUUAACCGGGGAGGGUCGUUGGGGACGGCGGGGCUUGAGGGCGGGAGAGGGUGGUGGAAUUCCCGGUGUAGUGGUGAAAUGCGUAGAGAUCGGGAGGAACACCCGUGGCGAAGGCGGCCACCUGGGCCGACCCUGACGCUGAGGCGCGAAAGCCAGGGGAGCGAACGGG